rnacentral:misc_RNA from 1 species
AACCAUAGAAACCUGCGGAGUACCUGCGGAGGGAUCAUUAUGAAUUUGAACUUGUGUGGCUGUUUCAUUUACAUGAACGCUCGCAAUUCUUUUUCUGUGAACUGUUCUUGAGUUUUUUUUUCUCACAAUUUAUUUUGUGAGAGAGAGACUCGGGUCAUUUUUGUUUUCUUGAUUUUUUAUUCCAUAUUUUUUUUUGAGUAGUACUUGCAAAAGAAUGAAAAAAAAUAAUAAACCAAGACA